rnacentral:rRNA from 1 species
AGAGCGAACGCUGGCGGCAGGCUUAACACAUGCAAGUCGAGCGGGCGUAGCAAUACGUCAGCGGCAGACGGGUGAGUAACGCGUGGGAACGUACCUUUUGGCUCGGAACAACACAGGGAAACUUGUGCUAAUACCGGAUAAGCCCUUACGGGGAAAGAUUUAUCGCCAAAAGAUCGGCCCGCGUCUGAUUAGCUAGUUGGUGAGGUAACGGCUCACCAAGGCGACGAUCAGUAGCUGGUCUGAGAGGAUGAUCAGCCACAUUGGGACUGAGACACGGCCCAAACUCCUACGGGAGGCAGCAGUGGGGAAUAUUGGACAAUGGGCGCAAGCCUGAUCCAGCCAUGCCGCGUGAGUGAUGAAGGCCCUAGGGUUGUAAAGCUCUUUUGUGCGGGAAGAUAAUGACGGUACCGCAAGAAUAAGCCCCGGCUAACUUCGUGCCAGCAGCCGC